CUCCUGUUUUGCAAUCAUGUGAAGUCAGUAGGGCUGCUGCACUGGGAGCCCUCCUGGCCACAGGUGAGGAGCCUCGCCAUCUGCAAUACUCAGUAGGCCAAUCAAGCUGGCCCUGCAUGAGGAGAGAUUGACAGGAAAAUGUCUUCAGAGCAAACGCAUGCCAGAUGGAAUGAAAACGGUUUAUUGGAGUAUGGAGGUGCUGCUGAACUGAAUAGAGGACGGGUUUAAGUACUGCACCAGAGAAAAACUUUAAAGUCAAAAGUUCAGUCAUUACAUACACUGCAGAAAAGGAGAAGGCAGACUGGUUUGGACUGAGAUUUUUUUAUUGUUUGCCUCACUGCCCUCCUCUCUCCCCCUACCUUCUCAAUCUGAAGGAAUUUCUCACUCAGUGUGAAUAGAUAAAGAUGUUUUGAUGUGCUUUAGAUAAAUCAGAAUGAUUUUUUUCCAAAAUGAGAACAGGUAAGAAACAAAAACAAACAAACAAAAAAAUCCAGAUGAUAGAGUAGCUAUCAAAUGCAGGACAGAUGAAGAAGCCUGCACUAAAAAUCCUAUAAAAGCCAAUAUAGCUGUUCCUAUAUCAGGAAGAGCAACAUCAUUGUGUCUUUUUCAACCAAAUAAACUUAAACUUGCAUGCUCCUAGUAAUGAUAACAAAGUCAAAUUCAGUUCUACAUCUCACAAGAAAACAUAGCUCUGAAAUAUUUCAUACUCUCCAUACAGAGCACAGGCAGGAAAACAGCCAUAAAUGCAGAACAAUCACACAAAAGAAAGGAAGAAAAUACAACUCUAAACUGUGAAUCUCCCUGACACCUUUUCAUUAUCAGCCUAGUCAAUGGAGAAUGCCACAAAGGAAAGGACAGCAUCAUAUUAUUGAAACAUGCUGGUGUUGGGGUUUUUUGAAGGAUGCACUUGUAUAGUCUCCGUGGGUAGAUUUUUUAUUUCACUAUAUUUGCCAUUAACUCUCUCUAAUUGUAUUUUACAUGCAGGGCUUGGAUUAAGUGUUCUGCAUGUAUUGUGUACAUUUAUAGUGCUCUUUUUAGAGUUUAUUCAUGGCAUUUUUCCUUACACAAACACAUCAGAAAGAAGUCACUGAGCUACCUCUUUUAUUUGUAUUAUACUUUAAAACAUAACAAAACCACCCUUUUUGUCUUUGACAACCUGCCUCUUUUUUUGCUAAGAAAUAUUUAUUUAGACAGUAAAAAGAUGUUAUGUUCUUUCCACUAGCAGAAGUGUAUGCAUUGACUAUGCUCCAAUGUAAUUUGCAGAAAUUAAGGAAAAUGCUCUGAGAAAGUAAGCAGGGAGUUUUGCCAUGUUGUUUUAGCUAAUAACUAAUAUACUACAAUAACAAAGCUUUAGGCAAAAUGCUUAAUAUUGACAGGAAAAGUAAUUGGCAAAUCCUUGUAAUGAUCCAUUUACAGUUUCUAUUUUAUAGAUUUACUGAUUGUUUUAAAAACAUAAGUUUUACAAUUUUUGUCAUAUUUUGUACUAUUCAGAAUCCUGCUAUAAAGUUCUGUUUAACUCUCCUUUUGUAUUAGUCCUGGAAGAGCUAUAAAGAUUGCUUGUACAAUUCUUAUGUUCUUUGGGGUUUUGCUUCAAUUUCCUUAGCAUUUAGCCAAAUAUUGGCGCACAGGCA